GUGAAUGAUUUCUGGACGCGUUUCCUCGUGGGGCUGUAUUAACGUCUUUAGCGCAACCAAUAACCCUCGGUCGCUAUCCCAAGUAGGACACUAUUAAAGCGCUACCGCGGCAGUUACUGUGCCCGACAGACAGCAUUAAAGUUCCGCUCCAACUACUUCCGGGCACUGUUUCUAGUCGAACAAUAUUAGAACUUUUACACAUCUGGCAACGUCACUUCCGGUCUGCGCUCCCCUGUUGUCCGGGCGGUGAGCGGGGCAGAUAUCGUGUAUCCCGCCUGCAGCGCCUCGCUGGCCCAGGUGUGCCAUGGGAGUUGUAGGCUGCGCCCUGUGCCCGUCCAGCCCAGUGAUGUCCAGCGGCAGUUCAAGGUUAUCGGGGUUUGGCAGACUGCAGCUGGGGCCCAGAGUCGCCCCCUCCCUAAAGUGCCGCCCUGUUCCCUGCCAGCUGUAUCCUCCCCAGUGUCACGUUCCCCAAUGCCGUUCUCUGUAUGUUGCCCGGGUGCUGGGGAUGGGCCUGGUCCUGGAGCUACCCAGCGACUGCAUAUGUAUGUGUAGCACAGCUCUUGUGUGCACCUGUGUUUGCAGGAACAGGGCCAAAUCCCUUCUGGGCCUGGUUGUGUAAAGGACAGAUUUCUACCUUUAUAAAUCAGAGCUCUUGCCAUUAGUGAACAAGAAAUCUGCAGCAUGAACAAGUUUUCCAGUAACUGAAUUUGUGCAUUUUGCUUCAAACGAAACCAAGGCAAGAAGUAAAAGAGGGGCUGCCUACCAGAGGGAGAGACAGAAUGACGAUGUUCAAACUGUGGACAGGAGAGUCAACCUCAAGAGCUAAUCCCCAGAGUGACCAGGAGGAGGCACCAGAGCAGCAAUGAGUAGUGCAUCCUGGGACAGCCCCACUGCCACCCUGACUUCUGUGGUGCCGCUGGUAGCAGUGCUGUCUUCAGAGCUCACCCUGACACAGACUCCCACCUAAACCUAGGGUUAGGAUUAGGGUUGGGGUUAGGGCAGUCCAGGCUGCAGAAAGUUGAUGUGCGGGAGAUCACAAUAUAGCGCAUGGAGAGCCUGCAACAGAGCAACACCCUGGAUAAUGACUCCCUGGCCUCUCGUAGUCUCCCAUGGGCUGGGGAGGAUCCAUCUUGGGGGAGGGUCUGUCUGCCCAAAUGCAACCCAGAGGGAGGGUCUACACCUCCUAUCAGGCUCAGUGAGAUGCACUCUCUUGCCCCCCCUGUGGUCUUCUAUGAGUCAUACAGGAUCUGUCUGCCCCAGGCAUGGUCCAUGCCAUGCUGAGGAGAGUUCAUGCUGCCUGCCAGGCUCAA